UAUAUUAAAGUUGAAUAUAUUUAAAUAGAUAAUUAGAUUGAAAUAAUAUUAUAUCCUAUUAAAUAAUUAAAUAAUAAAUAUUUAACACAUAGAUUUAAAUUAAAUGAAACAGUGUAUUUAAACGUGCGCUGGCCACGAGGGGCGUUAACGUGAUGUUACGUGAGUGACGUAAACGUGAUGGCAAAAAAAAAAAAAAAAACGUAAACGUAACGUGAUGGCGCAAAUAACCACGAAGACGGAAGAAUAAUAUAUAACUGCCGCCAUCCUUUAAUUUAUUUAUUUCUACGUUGAGGACACUUUAUAAACCUACAGAGAUACCCGACCAACGAACGACCUUCACAACGGGACGGAGCUAACGUAAUUAACGUUAACGGUUACUUGGAAAUUCAAACAGUAACGGUCAUCUGACAACUGCGCUGAGCCAAAGGUAAGAAUAAAUGUGCUUUUAUUCAUCGUUUUAUCAAUCUAAUGUUAAAUUUUACUUCAGUUUAAUAUUUCAAAUUAUUUAUUUGGAUUAUAAAGAUUAUAUAUUUUCAAAUUCCUCUUUUUGUAAUUGUACAUAACGUUAUCCCUGUUGGUUAAUUUGAGGUGGUCCAAGUUACAGUCUGAGGACGGGAACAGCAACAAGAGUUUAACUUCUGAUUCGUAAGCUACACACUCUACUGGGCAGUUCAUGAAGACAGAUAGAUGUUGUGCCGACCAGGACAGUUCCUCCUACCACACCAGACUUUGCUGUAUAUGGAUGCCUGACCACUAGCACUGGACAUUUACAACAUUUUGGCGCCAGGGAUCCCUUGAAGAGAAAAUUUUUCAAGGACACCCUCAGAAUUACAACAGAUUUUAAGGCUUAAAAUUAUUGUGGGUGGGAGUAUAAUAAACAUAAUAUGAUUGUUUUAUUUUAUUAUUAUUAUUUAUUUUUAAAUAGUUCCCAUUUUUUAAUAAUACAUUUGUUUAAUAAUACAGCACAAUAUAGGGCUAAGUUGCACCAGGUCAGGAAAAAACACAUAAGUUGCAUCUGUGUAUAAGACACAUUUUACUAUUAAUUUCAGAAAUAAUUUAAAUACUGAUAAAUAAAGCAAACGUUAAGAAACUUAAAAACUAUGAACACUGUAAAGAUUUUAUUUUCCCUCACUUCAAAUCAUUUAAAUUGAAAACUAUUCAAAACAGAAUAAAAAUAAAAAUAUUUAGGCCUAUGUAUAAAAUAAAAAAAAAUUCUAGUGCCAUUAUUUGCAAGCAGUAUAUCUUUUGUUAAUUAAAAUGCACUUGCUAUCUCAGUUUCUGUGAACCUCAUUCUGAAAUGUAGAAAAACACAGUGGUACAGACAAUACCACUGUGUACAGACAGGCUUGUCACACAGACAUGA